rnacentral:rRNA from 1 species
GAUGAACGCUGGCGGCGUGCCUAACACAUGCAAGUCGAACGGAGUAUUAUUUAUGAAGUUUUCGGAUGGAUUAAAUAAUACUUAGUGGCGGACGGGUGAGUAACGCGUGGGUAACCUGCCUCAUACAGGGGGAUAACAGUCGGAAACGGCUGCUAAAACCGCAUAAUAUACGAAUAUCGCAUGAUAAUCGUAUUAAAUAUUUAUAGGUAUGAGAUGGGCCCGCGUCUGAUUAGCUAGUUGGUGAGAUAAAAGCUCACCAAGGCUUCGAUCAGUAGCCGGCUUGAGAGAGUGACCGGCCACAUUGGGACUGAGACACGGCCCAAACACCUACGGGUGGCAG